rnacentral:lncRNA from 1 species
UAACGCCUAGUUGUUGUGGUGGUAGCACGUGCGCAAAAUGUACAUACAUAAGAUCUAGUUUUCUCAAGUAAAGGACCGAAAUUGGCGGUGGUGAUAUUAUUUAGCUGCUGAUUAUGAAUUCGUUCAGCUUUGUGAUUGGAUAUUGCUCGUUCCUUGGCGUCUCCUACAAGUAAGAAGCGUGCGUAAAUUGUCUAAAACUAAAGACAGGUGUGUGGAAACAAUCAAAAUGCGACGUGUAAAUUUGACCAACAAUGACAUUGGAUCUGUUAAUGAAACCCACAAUUUCAGGGUAGUAUUCUUUCUUGGCGUGACGUAACUGAAGUUGGUCUAUCGUUAUUUGAUGAUUUAAAUCUCAAUUGUUUGUAGAAGGCCACCGUAUGCAAAGAGGUUAAGGUUUCCCUUGUAGAAUUUCGACGCGCUUUAACAUUCGCUGCCGUAUGCCGAGAGGUUAAAGUUCCCCCUGUAGGAUUUCGAGGCUCUUUACAGUCGUUCGGACCGGUAAUGUCUCACCUAAGAAAACGCUGCUCGGUUGAUUCAGGUGAAUCAAAUUAUUCAAACUAGGCGUUAUUAGUACAUCAAAUUAGUUUCACAUGGACGGCCUUUAGCUAUCUGCGAUUGUGUUAUCGGAAAAGAAAGUUUGGUGGCAGAGGAUCGUGGAGGAUAUCGGAUAAUGAAAUGGAAACAUGUGUGAUUUGCUUUUUGUCACAUUUAACGGCAAUCGACUUAAUGCCUAAUGGCCGUACCCGACGUAAGGCCCGACAACUCGUCUCAAGGCAUUUAGUGGCAAUCAAAGCAGGUGACACCGAGUCUAUCUUGUGUGCGCUAUAAAUAGCUCUAAACAGCCUGUUCAGUUUUUGGGGUAUUACAGAGUAAGGUUACAGCAAUGAAUGUAGUUUUUUGUCAAAAAAUAAAAUUCGAUCCUCUGCAAUGCA